GAAUCUUGGUCAAUGGGCGCAAGCCUGAACCAGCGACGCCGCGUGAGUGAUGAAGGCCUUCGGGUUGUAAAGCUCUGUGGGGAGGGACGAAAGAGCUCAAUCUAAUAGGUUGAGUAGUUGACGGUACCUCCUUAGCAAGCACCGGCUAACUCUGUGCCCGCAGCCGCGGUAAGACAGAGGGUGCAAACGUUGGUCGGAAGUACUGGGCGUAAAGCGCGUGUAGGCGGGUUUCCAAGUCAGAUGUGAAAUCCCCGGGCUCAACCCGGGAACUGCAUUUGAAACUGGGAGUCUUGAGUAUCGGAGAGGAAAGCGGAAUUCCUGGUGUAGAGGUGAAAUUCGUAGAUAUCAGGAGGAACACCGGUGGCGAAGGCGGCUUUCUGGACGAUAACUGACGCUGAGACGCGAAAGCGUGGGGAGCAAACAGG
rnacentral:rRNA from 1 species